AAUGAACGCUGGCGGCAGGCCUAACACAUGCAAGUCGAACGGAUCCUUCGGGAUUAGUGGCGGACGGGUGAGUAACGCGUGGGAACAUACCCUUUGGUACGGAAUAGCCUCGGGAAACUGGGAGUAAUACCGUAUGUGGUCGAGAGACGAAAGAUUUAUCGCCAAAGGAUUGGCCCGCGUUGGAUUAGGUAGUUGGUGGGGUAAUGGCCUACCAAGCCGACGAUCCAUAGCGGGUUUGAGAGGAUGCUCAGCCACACUGGGGCUGAGACACGGCCCAGACUCCUACGGGAGGCAGCAGUGGGGAAUCUUAGACAAUGGGGGAAACCCUGAUCUAGCCAUGCCGCGUGAUCGAUGAAGGCCUUAGGGUUGUAAAGAUCUUUCAGGUGGGAAGAUAAUGACUGUACCACCAGAAGAAGCCCCGGCUAACUCCGUGCCAGCCGCCGCGGUAACAC
rnacentral:rRNA from 1 species